AUACGGGGGGUGCAAGCGUUAUGCGGAUUUAUUGGGCGUAAAGAGCGCGUAGGCGGCUUGGUAAGUCAGAUGUGAAAGCCCGGGGCUCAACCCCGGAAGUGCAUUUGAAACUAUCAGGCUUGAGUAUGGGAGAGGGAAGUGGAAUUCCUGGUGUAGAGGUGAAAUUCGUAGGUAUCAGGAGGAACACCGGUGGCGAAGGCGACUUCCUGGACCAAUACUGACGCUGAGGCGCGAAGGCGUGGGGAGCAAACAGGAUUAGAAACCCUAGUAGUCC
rnacentral:rRNA from 1 species